GCGGGUGUAGUUCAAUGGUAGAACGGCAGCUUCCCAAGCUUUAGACGCGAGUUCGAUUCUCGUCACCCGCUCCA
rnacentral:tRNA from 2 species